rnacentral:rRNA from 1 species
GACGAACGCUGGCGGCGUGCUUAACACAUGCAAGUCGAACGGAAAGGCCCUGCUUUUGUGGGGUGCUCGAGUGGCGAACGGGUGAGUAACACGUGAGUAACCUGCCCUUGACUUUGGGAUAACUUCAGGAAACUGGGGCUAAUACCGGAUAGGAGCUCCUGCUGCAUGGUGGGGGUUGGAAAGUUUCGGCGGUUGGGGAUGGACUCGCGGCUUAUCAGCUUGUUGGUGGAGUAGUGGCUUACCAAGGCUUUGACGGGUAGCCGGCCUGAGAGGGUGACCGGCCACAUUGGGACUGAGAUACGGCCCAGACUCCUACGGGAGGCAGCAGUGGGGAAUAUUGCACAAUGGGCGGAAGCCUGAUGCAGCAACGCCGCGUGCGGGAUGACGGCCUUCGGGUUGUAAACCGCUUUCGCCUGUGACGAAGCGUGAGUGACAGUAAUGGGUAAAGAAGCACCGGCUAACUACGUG